AACUUUCAGCAACGGAUCUCUUGGCUCUCGCAUCGAUGAAGAACGCAGCGAAAUGCGAUAAGUAAUGUGAAUUGCAGAAUUCAGUGAAUCAUCGAAUCUUUGAACGCACCUUGCGCUCCUUGGUAUUCUGAGGAGCAUGCCUGUUUGAGUGUCAUUA
rnacentral:rRNA from 2 species